rnacentral:rRNA from 1 species
GAUGAACGCUGGCGGCGUGCCUAAUACAUGCAAGUCGAGCGAACGGACGAGAAGCUUGCUUCUCUGAUGUUAGCGGCGGACGGGUGAGUAACACAUGGAUAACCUACCUAUAAGACUGGGAUAACUUCGGGAAACCGGAGCUAAUACCGGAUAAUAUUUUGAACCGCAUGGUUCAAAAGUGAAAGACGGUCUUGCUGUCACUUAUAGAUGGAUCCGCGCUGCAUUAGCUAGUUGGUAAGGUAACGGCUUACCAAGGCAACGAUGCAUAGCCGACCUGAGAGGGUGAUCGGCCACACUGGAACUGAGACACGGUCCAGACUCCUACGGGAGGCAGCGGUAGGGAAUCUUCCGCAAUGGGCGAAAGCCUGACGGAGCAACGCCGCGUGAGUGAUGAAGGUCUUCGGAUCGUAAAACUCUGUUAUUAGGGAAGAACAUAUGUGUAAGUAACUGUGCACAUCUUGACGGUACCUAAUCAGAAAGCCACGGCUAACUACGUG